UACAGAGGGGGCAAGCGUUAUUCGGAAUUAUUGGGCGUAAAGGGCGCGUAGGCGGCCUUCUAAGUCGAGCGUGAAAUCCCCGGGCUCAACCCGGGAACUGCGUCCGAUACUGGAAGGCUUGAAUCCGGGAGAGGGAUGCGGAAUUCCAGGUGUAGCGGUGAAAUGCGUAGAUAUCUGGAGGAACACCGGUGGCGAAGGCGGCAUCCUGGACCGCUACUGACGCUGAGGAACGAAAGCUAGGGGAGCAAACAGG
rnacentral:rRNA from 1 species